rnacentral:rRNA from 1 species
UUUUUGGAAGGUAAAAAUCGUAACAAGGUCUCCGUAGGUGAACCUGCGGAGGGAUCAUUACACAAAUAUGAAGGCGGGCUGGAACCUCUCGGGGUUACAGCCUUGCUGAAUUAUUCACCCUUGUCUUUUGCGUACUUCUUGUUUCCUUGGUGGGUUCGCCCACCACUAGGACAAACAUAAACCUUUUGUAAUUGCAAUCAGCGUCAGUAACAAAUUAAUAAUUACAACUUUCAACAACGGAUCUCUUGGUUCUGGCAUCGAUGAAGAACGCAGCGAAAUGCGAUAAGUAGUGUGAAUUGCAGAAUUCAGUGAAUCAUCGAAUCUUUGAACGCACAUUGCGCCCUUUGGUAUUCCAAAGGGCAUGCCUGUUCGAGCGUCAUUUGUACCCUCAAGCUUUGCUUGGUGUUGGGCGUCUUGUCUCUAGCUUUGCUGGAGACUCGCCUUAAAGUAAUUGGCAGCCGGCCUACUGGUUUCGGAGCGCAGCACAAGUCGCACUCUCUAUCAGCAAAGGUCUAGCAUCCAUUAAGCCUUUUUUUCAACUUUGACCUCAGAUCACUACGCACGUUCCUUUUAAGGC